rfam:Botryobasidium botryosum FD-172 SS1 unplaced genomic scaffold BOTBOscaffold_1, whole genome shotgun sequence.
GCCCUGAUAGCUCAGUUGGUAGAGCGUUGCACUAGUACUUAUAUAUGCAAAGGUCGCUAGUUCAAAUCUGGCUUGGGGCA